rnacentral:lncRNA from 10 species
CAGUGAGGCAGGAAUCAUAUGUGUAUGGGCCAGAUGAGAUAGUAAGGAUAAGUGGGGAGGAGCCAAGAUGGCCGAAUAGGAACAGCUCCGGUCUACAGCUCCCAGCGUGAGCGACGCAGAAGACGGGUGAUUUCUGCAUUUCCAUCUGAGGUACCGGGUUCAUCUCACUAGGGAGUGCCAGACAGUGGGCGCACGCAGGAUACUCAAACUUGAAACCAACCUACCUUAUCGUGAGGAAGCCUGGUUCAAAUGGAGAGGCCAAUGUAGGUGUACAACAGACAGUCCCAGCUGAAAGGCCCAGCUUGCACACAACAUCACUGCCAGACGAAUGAGAAGGGCCUUAUGAUGAUUCCAGCAUCAGACAUUUGACUUGGCCCAGCUUUUGCUGAACUGCAUCUUAGUCUCACUCUUCAC